ACUCCUACGGGAGGCAGCAGUGGGGAAUAUUGGACAAUGGGCGCAAGCCUGAUCCAGCCAUGCCGCGUGUGUGAAGAAGGCCUUCGGGUUGUAAAGCACUUUCAGUGAGGAAGAAGGCCUUGAGGUUAAUACCCUCGAGGAAGGACAUCACUCGCAGAAGAAGCACCGGCUAACUCCGUGCCAGCAGCCGCGGUAAUACGGAGGGUGCGAGCGUUAAUCGGAAUUACUGGGCGUAAAGCGCGCGUAGGCGGCUUGAUAAGCCGGUUGUGAAAGCCCGCGUCAACCUGGGAACGGCAUCCGGAACUGUCAGGCUAGAGUGCAGGAGAGGAAGGUAGAAUUCCCGGUGUAGCGGUGAAAUGCGUAGAGAUCGGGAGGAAUACCAGUGGCGAAGGCGGCCUUCUGGACUGACACUGACGCUGAGGUGCGAAAGCGUGGGUAGCAAACAGGAUUAGAUACCCUGGUAGGACAGUG
rnacentral:rRNA from 1 species